GAUCCGCCCCUGAAUUAUAAUAGGCCGUGUUUUGAAGGAUGCAUUUGGCACUGGAGAGUAUGUAGGGAUAAAAAAAAAAAGCUUGCACUGCAGGUUGGAUACUACCUACCAAUAGAAAUGUUUUAUGUAUAAUGUUCAGACAAACCACCCACUCCAAUCCUCAAACGCACCCCAGAAACCAUAGGAAAAAGAAUAUCGCAACGCAACUGCCAAACAUUCAGGAAGCUUUCGACUGAACUGCACCCAUAUAGCCUACAAUGUCGUAUGACGGCUUGCGACAAAUGGACCCUAUUAAAGCUGCAUUUACACCCGAUCCGAAUCUAUUAGCCAUACCACCAGGAGCGGAUCCAGUAGGGAUGCACUGUGGAACGUCCCCUUCCCCUUUUUCCACUAUAUUUUAAAAAUUUAAAUGCAUACAUUUUAUGUGCGCCUACUUAUUUAUUCUGAAACUGCUGUGCCCUUCCCCCACCCCCUCUCGUUUGAAAAAUUCGGAUUCGGUGUGAAUCUACCUUAGGACAACAUGAUUAUUGUUAGUUUCUCCAAAAUUUGGGUAUACUAAAUAGGGUAACACCUCUAUUAUUGGAAAAUUGGUCCCGAAAGCUGUCCCCUUAAUUCACGGGCUCCAAAGGAAAAAUAUUUUGAUAUGUUUUCUAAGACAAAAAUGCAUAUUUGACUGAAAAAUUUUAUUUAAAAAACCGGGGAACCUUUCUGUAAUCUGUAUUUCAUUAACCACUUACAAGUUUUGCAUCAAAAUGCUGUUUGUGUCUUAGAAAUAAAAAUUGUUUAGCAUAUAGAAAAUUUUUUUCCUCCAGAGUCUGACUUCAAUAGGGAUUCUACUAACAUAAAAGGACAAUAUUUUUUUUUUCAUAGUGUUAGUUUUUCACUUAAAUGUUUUAUUCAAUAUCUUUUACUUAUGUUUCCAAUCAAUAUGUUUUUUUUUUAAAUGUUUUCAUAUAAUUUCGAUGUGUUUUGUAUGCACUUGUGUAUAUUUGUACACGCCUUUGGAACUUCAAAUAAUAAAUAAUCUCUAUUUAUACCCUUGGACAAAUAAUAUUAAUUCCAAUAAUUAAAGUUGUUCUUAUGGCCAUUUUCACCAAAUAUCUUGGACGCACUCACCUGAGCACGCAGAUGUAAAUUUUGAAAUUCCAGAGAAUCGCGUGAUAGAUAUGGUGGAGAAGCUGUAUUUUAGCAAAAAGACGCCAUUGUUUUAUGAUUAUAGUGCAUAUUUGUGAUAAGUAUCAACAAAACCACUAAGAGCGGCAUGUUGGUACAGUCAGCCAGAAUGUUAAGAAGCAAUGGUGUUCAGCUUCAGGAGUAGUAAAAUUGUGAGAGUGGAUAUCAACAAGAAUACAGUGUGCUGCUAUGGAGAAAUGCAGACCAGGAAAGAUUUGAUAUCCAGAUCCGUAAGUGCAAUUGGGGAUUGCAGGAAACAACCCACUGAUACCACCCGACAGGCUCUGAGAUGGAAUCCGCAUGGAAAGAGAAGUCGAGGUCAUCCCAGAAAUAGCUGGAGAAGAACCGUGAACAAUGAGACGAAGCGGGCUGGCUACUGCUGGAAGCAGAUUGAAACAAUAGCUCAAAACAGAGUGUGAUGGCGUGUUAUUUCCAAGGACCUAUGCUCCACAGAGAGCAAUAGUGAAUAAAGUCAACAUCAGAACAUGAUCAAUGCUGGGUGAUAAGUAUUUUGAAGUUUUGUUGGAACAUUUUGCUGAAUAGUGCAAUUUCAGUACUGUAUGUGCAAGAUAAAAUACAGCAUCAGAACAUGAUCAAUGCUGGGUGAUAAGUAUUUUGAAGUUUUGUUGGAACAUUUUGCUGAAUAGUGCAAUAACGUAAUUCCUGGUAUAAGGAAGCCUAUGAAAUCAUAACGGUUUGACAAGAUGCAGCAUCAAAGUUGAAAGACAGGAAAAGUGCAGCAGCAGCACAAGGCAACACCGAGACUGCGAAAGUUCUAAUAUGAGUUUUUGAGGACAGACAAAUUUCUCUGCAGGUUACAAGUAACAAAGAAUUAACAUUACUAUGCAGCAUCACAGUUACAAGAGAGGAAAAGUAUUGCAGCAAAGAAGACAACAAAAUAUCAACAUUUUAACUUUAGUUAAUUUACUGUAAUUUGCGGUCCCUAAAAUUUUGGAAGACAGAAAAGAAUACUGAAGUUUAGUUUGAACAUGUUGCUGAAUACUGCGACAGCCUAAUUCUGGUGAAUGCGGCGAUUGUAUUAUUUAUGAAACAUUAUUGCAGCACCAAGACAACUUGCUUCAUUAUCGAAAACUGAUUAUAUUGUACACAGACAUGAAUUUACAAUCUUAUUACAGAUCAAAAAGAAACCAGAGAACUAUUAUAAGAAAUUAACAUAGGCUAGCAAAGCAUUUAAUUUUCUGUAUAAUGAAUUGGUGAAAGAAAACAAACAGCGAUUGUAUUAUUUAUGAAAGACACCACUUGCUUCAUUCUUGAAAACUGAUUAUAUUGAAUUGAAGACAUGAAUCUUAUUACAAAUCAAAGAGAAACCAAAAAACUACUAUAAUUUAAAG